rnacentral:rRNA from 1 species
GACGAACGCUGGCGGCGUGCUUAACACAUGCAAGUCGAACGGAAAGGCCCUUCGGGGUACUCGAGUGCCGAACGGGUGAGUAACACGUGGGUGAUCUGCCCUGCACUUUGGGAUAAGCCUGGGACACUGGGUCUAAUACUGAAUAUGAUCAUCAGCUUCCUGUUCGGUGGUGGAAAGCUUUUGCGGUGUGGGAUGGGCCCGCGGCCUAUCAGCUUGUUGGUGGGGUAAUGGCCUACCAAGGCGACGACGGGUAGCCGGCCUGAGAGGGUGACCGGCCACACUGGGACUGAGAUACGGCCCAGACUCCUACGGGAGGCAGCAGUGGGGAAUAUUGCACAAUGGGCGGAAGCCUGAUGCAGCGACGCCGCGUGAGGGAUGACGGCCUUCGGGUUGUAAACCUCUUUCAGCACAGACGAAGCGCAAGUGACGGUAUGUGCAGAAGAAGGACCGGCCAACUACGUG